GACGAACGCUGGCGGCGUGCCUAAUACAUGCGAGUAGAACGCACAGUUUAUACCGUAGCUUGCUACACCAUAGACUGUGAGUUGCGAACGGGUGAGUAACGCGUAGGUAACCUGCCUGGUAGCGGGGGAUAACUAUUGGAAACGAUAGCUAAUACUGCAUAAUAUUGAUUAUUGCAUGAUAAUUGAUUGAAAGAUGCUAUUGCAUCACUACCAGAUGGACCUGCGUUGUAUUAGCUAGUAGGUGAGGUAACGGCUCACCUAGGCGACGAUACAUAGCCGACCUGAGAGGGUGAUCGGCCACACUGGGACUGAGACACGGCCCAGACUCCUACGGGAGGCAGCAGUAGGGAAUCUUCGGCAAUGGACGAAAGGCUGACCGAGCAACGCCGCGUGAGUGAAGAAGGUUUUCGGAUCGUAAAGCUCUGUUGUAAGAGAAGAGCGGGUGUGAGAGUGGAAAGUUCACACUGUGACGGUAUCUUACCAGAAAGGGACGGCUAACUACGUG
rnacentral:rRNA from 1 species